AUUGAACGCUGGCGGCAGGCCUAACACAUGCAAGUCGAGCGGAUGAAGGGAGCUUGCUCCUGGAUUCAGCGGCGGACGGGUGAGUAAUGCCUAGGAAUCUGCCUGGUAGUGGGGGAUAACGUCCGGAAACGGGCGCUAAUACCGCAUACGUCCUGAGGGAGAAAGUGGGGGAUCUUCGGACCUCACGCUAUCAGAAGAGCCUAGGUCGGAUUAGCUAGUUGGUGGGGUAAAGGCCUACCAAGGCGACGAUCCGUAACUGGUCUGAGAGGAUGAUCAGCCACACUGGAACUGAGACACGGUCCAGACUCCUACGGGAGGCAGCAGUGGGGAAUAUUGGACAAUGGGCGAAAGCCUGAUCCAGCCAUGCCGCGUGUGUGAAGAAGGUCUUCGGAUUGUAAAGCACUUUAAGUUGGGAGGAAGGGCAGUAAGUUAAUACCUUGCUGUUUUGACGUUACCAACAGAAUAAGCACCGGCUAACUUCGUG
rnacentral:rRNA from 1 species